UUCAUUUGAGAUAGGCUAUGAGGUCAAAUAAAGUUAUGAGGGGGGGAGGCCUUGCUCUAAUAACCCAGCGAAACUUCUCAGUAAGAUGAAGUGUGGAGUGCAGCUGUCAGUCAGUCUUGGAAAUGGCAAGUGGACAAGAGAAGCAUACAAGAAGAGGCUCUGCAAGCAUCGGGUCAGUCUGCUGUAUGGGAGCUCUACAAUGACUGGCUUGUGCUAGGGGUGUCUACUUCCAAUAUGAUGAACCAUUUGUGUCGAUGUCACCCUGUUGUGUCAGUUGACAGCGCAAGGAGGAGAGAGUCUGGCAUGAUGUGAUGCAUGGCAACAGACAGGAAGAAGAUGGCAUCGCUGUAGUAAGCCCCAGAGCCAGCGCUGAAGUGCUUCUGCAUGGCCUCCACGAUAGGAAACAGCUUCUGUGUGAGAGCCGCCACGUCAUGGAACGACACCUGCACAGCAGAUCAAUGCAGUAGAGUCGAGUUAACACAGCAAUGUCCCAACUGCAGCAGAGUUGGGAAAUACAUGCCACUACCUAAGAUAUCAUUUUAUGUGACUAUUUGGUACAUGUCAUCUGAGAUUUUUGUGAUUAUAACAGGGCUUAAAUGUGUGUUUUCCUCAUCUUAAAAGGCUACAUUCCAGUUUGUUUAGGCAGUGAAUGCCUCACCUUAACAAGCCUUCACGGCUGCAUUUUAUUAUAAGAAUCAGAGGUGUAUGGGACAUGUGCUGACCAAAUAUUCUGCAGAAGUCCAAAUGAUUUUGUUCCUAAAGCAAUUUGUCAAUUUGAAUGACCCACUGAUGUGUAAUUUCCAACUUCAUAAGUGAACAUUUUUUGGUUUUAAGUUCACAAGUUGUGAUAGACGCUAACGAAAAUGAAUCCAUCUACUUUUUUAUGUCCUUUAAAAUCAGAACAAACCAAAAAUGACAAGCCGUACAUACAAAACAAAGAUACUGUUCAAAACUUGGCAGAUAAGCGUGAAAAGUGAUUUAGAGGUCACUCGUGAUCAAUCCACUACAGACAACUUCUUGCUUCAUGUAACCUCUCAAAUAAAACCUCUACGGUUACAAUUAGCAGAGAGAACCAUGGUGAAAACUAAAAACAGAGAUGUUAUUUUAUAACACACUCCCAUCCUUGUGUCAUUUUAAAAGGUUUUAACCACUUCAUAUGACAGUCAGGCGCAUAAACAUUGUCUUCUUGUGUCCAGGUUUCCUGCCUCUCAGUGCUGCUCCUCUGAGCUUUAAAUCCCACAACAGCUGUGAGGCAGCAGUUUCUGCUCUGAUCGUGUACAGUAGAUAUCUCAACAGAUUACUGAAAGAGGAUUUUUUCUUUUAAAUAUAAGCACUGAUUAUCAUUAAAGCUUUCCUGCAGGACGAAAAAUACAUAUGUUGGGUUUGGGACAAACAGUCUUUCCUGAGGAGAGUCUGGACUUUCCUGGCUAAGCCUGACAUCAGUAAGUGUGCAUUUAAAGGCUUCAGAUAAAAGCUGGACAAUACGGCUGUUGUAUUAUAAAUCAGGCACCAUGUGCCUCGAUGGGAAUACAUAGUUUAAUGAUCCCUGGCAGAUUAAGGUAAGCCCUCUAUCAUUUGAAAUCAGUGCUGACCUGGACAGCUGUUGGCAGUGUGAUUUAAUGGCACAUUUUUUUAUUUAAAAGUCAAAGUGAGCAAUUGACUGCUAUUCUGUCACGUUAGCAGCUAUGCAUUCACUCUUGUAUCUUGCACAAGAGGACCAACAGUUAUAUUUUUUAUUCGUGCCACAUAAAGGAUUGCUUUAAGUACUUUGAAAUUUAUUCUAAAAAAGCAAUAAAGUAGCCAUUGCUUCUGCAGCAUUUUAUUUGAUAAAAGGCACCAGAACCAGUGGAGUUCACCAACUAGCCAGCCUUGAAAACUGAAAUGCUUGAACACACAAUUGAAGCUCACUAGUUUAAGAGCUUAAGUACUAGCUACUAUUUUAUAAUUAGGACUUGUGGUUUGUGCAGGACAAGUUAAGGACCCACCCUUCACCGGGAGUUGAACACAAAUAAAUGUGCGAGACGCAGCUGUUCAUUGGGAAAAGGAUUCAACAUUUGGCUUCAGAUUGAAGAACAUUAUACUGCUUACAGAAAGUAAACCCCCCCCAAUAGCACUAACCCUAACCCCACCGCACCCUCCUCCAACCCAGAUUUUUCAAAGAUCACAGAUUUUUGGACAACAUUGUUUCUUCAGUCAUAAAAUAAAUACUGUUCUGUUAUACAUA